rnacentral:tRNA from 1 species
GGAGAGGUGUCCGAGUGGCUUAAGGAGCACGCUUGGAAAGCGUGUAAAGGGGCAACUCUUUCGCGGGUUCGAAUCCCGCUCUCUCCGCCA